UACGAAGGGGGCUAGCGUUGUUCGGAAUUACUGGGCGUAAAGCGCGUGUAGGCGGCUUGGCAAGUCGGGUGUGAAAGCCCCGGGCUCAACCUGGGAAGUGCACUCGAAACUGCUUCGCUUGAGUACUGGAGAGGGUAGUGGAAUUCUCGGUGUAGAGGUGAAAUUCGUAGAUAUCGAGAGGAACAUCGGUGGCGAAGGCGGCUACCUGGACAGUUACUGACGCUGAGACGCGAAAGCGUGGGGAGCAAACAGG
rnacentral:rRNA from 1 species